UACGUAGGGGGCAAGCGUUGUCCGGAUUCAUUGGGCGUAAAGAGCGUGUAGGCGGCCAUGUAGGUCCGUUGUGAAAACUCGAGGCUCAACCUCGAGACGCCGAUGGAAACCAUGUGGCUAGAGUCCGGAAGAGGAGAGUGGAAUUCCUGGUGUAGCGGUGAAAUGCGCAGAUAUCAGGAAGAACACCCGUGGCUAAGGCGGCUCUCUAGUACGGUACUGACGCUGAGACGCGAAAGCGUGGGGAGCGAACAGG
rnacentral:rRNA from 1 species